UACGAAGGGGGCUAGCGUUGUUCGGAAUCACUGGGCGUAAAGCGCACGUAGGCGGAUCUUUAAGUCAGGGGUGAAAUCCCGAGGCUCAACCUCGGAACUGCCUUUGAUACUGGGGAUCUCGAGUCCGGGAGAGGUGAGUGGAACUGCGAGUGUAGAGGUGAAAUUCGUAGAUAUUCGCAAGAACACCAGUGGCGAAGGCGGCUCACUGGCCCGGAACUGGACGCUGAGGUGCGAAAGCGUGGGGAGCAAACAGG
rnacentral:rRNA from 1 species